rnacentral:rRNA from 1 species
ACAUGCAGUCGAGCGAACAGAUAAGGAGCUUGCUCCUUUGACGUUAGCGGCGGACGGGUGAGUAACACGUGGGUAACCUACCUAUAAGACUGGGAUAACUUCGGGAAACCGGAGCUAAUACCGGAUAACAUUUGGAACCGCAUGGUUCUAAAGUGAAAGAUGGUUUUGCUAUCACUUAUAGAUGGACCCGCGCCGUAUUAGCUAGUUGGUAAGGUAACGGCUUACCAAGGCGACGAUACGUAGCCGACCUGAGAGGGUGAUCGGCCACACUGGAACUGAGACACGGUCCAGACUCCUACGGGAGGCAGCAGUAGGGAAUCUUCCGCAAUGGGCGAAAGCCUGACGGAGCAACGCCGCGUGAGUGAUGAAGGGUUUCGGCUCGUAAAACUCUGUUAUUAGGGAAGAACAAACGUGUAAGUAACUGUGCACGUCUUGACGGUACCUAAUCAGAAAGCCACGGCUAACUACGUGCC